rnacentral:tRNA from 1 species
ACCUGGGUGGCUCAGUAGAUUAAGCAUCUGACUUCAGCUCAGGUCUUGCAUGAUCUCACAGCUUGUGUGUUCAAGCCCCACCUCGGGCU